UACCAGCUCUUCGAGUGGUGUGGAUGUUUAUUGGGCCUAAAGCAUCCGUAGCUGGCUGGGCAAGUCCCCCUGUUAAAUCCACCGAUUUAAUCGUUGGAGUGCGGGGGAUACUGUUCGGCUAGGGGACGGGGGAGGCAGACGGUAUUUUCGGGGUAGGGGUGAAAUCCUAUAAUCCCGAGAAGACCACCAGUGGCGAAGGCUGUCUGCUAGAACGCGCCCGACGGUGAGGGAUGAAAGCUGGGGGAGCGAGCCGGAUUAGAUACCCGGGUAGUCCCAGCUGUAAACGAUGCAGGCUAGGUGUUUGGACGGCCACGUGCCGUUCUAGUGCCGCAGGGAGCCGUUAAGCCUGCCGCCUGGGGAGUACGGCCGCAAGGCUGAAACUUAAGGAAUUGGCGGGGGAGCACCACAAGGGGUGAGGCUUGCGGUUU
rnacentral:rRNA from 1 species